GUGCACAUCUCAUUAACUUGCUCUCACAUGUUUUGCUGAGCAGUGUUUUCCUGAUGUGCUAGAUGAAAUUGAAGGCUAAUUAGCAGUGUAACUUUAUAUACAUAGUUUCUGCUGCCAGUCUCCUUCAGACAUAU